UUCUAUUAAUAGCCUAUUUUAUCAGUUGGAAAAUACGAACAACAGUUUAAACACCAAAGAAUUUGGCGGUGUCUUAAUUAAUUAGGGGAACCUGUGCCUUAAAUCGAUAAUCCACGAAAGUCUUACCUAAUAUUGAAACUCAGUUAGUGUACUGCCGUCUUAAGUAUACCUUUAUGAGCGUAUACAGAAAAUUAAAUUUAAGUUUAAUUAUACGUCAGGUCAAAGUGCAGCUUAUAAUUAGGGGGUAAUGGGUUACAAUCUAUAUAAAGAUUACGAAUAAAAGUAAUAAAUACUUUUUGAAGGUGGACUUAACAGUAAUUACUUGUAAUGUAAUGAAAAAUAUAUAAGACAAGU
rnacentral:rRNA from 1 species